UGUCAAGAGUCGUGGCGCCAUUUCGGCGAGCAGAUUUCUUUUGCCUGAUUGAAAGGUGAGGGAAAUG
rfam:Mesorhizobium ciceri biovar biserrulae WSM1271 plasmid pMESCI01, complete sequence.